GAAGUAAAAACAACCGGGAGCCUGCGGCUUAAUUUGACUCAACACGGGGAAACUCACCAGGUCCAGACACAAUGAGGAUUGACAGAUUGAGAGCUCUUUCUUGAUUUUGUGGGUGGUGGUGCAUGGCCGUUCUUAGUUGGUGGAGGGAUUUGUCUGCUUAAUUGCGAUAACGAACGAGACCUUAACCUGCUAAAUAGCCCGUAUUGCUUUGGCAGUACGCCGGCUGAUGGGCUGGCGCAGGGAGGUGCGGCCUGCACGCUCCUGCGCCCCGGCUUAAGAUAUAGUCUACUCCUGCUCCGAGAGGAGAGGUAACCGAAAAGCUCUUAAGGUAGCCAAAUGCCUCGUCAUCUAAUUAGUGACGCGCAUGAAUGGAGAAGGCCCGGGUAAUCUUGUUAAACUCCGUCGUGCUGGGGACAGAGCAUUGCAAUUAUUGCUCUUCAACGAGGAAUCCCUAGUAAGCGCAGGUCAUCAGCUUGCGUUGAUUACGUCCCUGCCCUUUGUAC
rnacentral:ncRNA from 1 species